CUCGGUGCAAGGAUCACAGAGCUGCAGUGGAACCAAUAGUUCCCUUGUCAUCACGAAGGAAGUCUUGAGUUCAAUUGGAACACACGAAAGGGAUGAUUUUGGGUAUGAUGGAUGUCCUGCCCUUUUCGGAUCAGAAGCAGCUGAUGACUGAACAACAUGUGCCCUUGCCACCAUCCUCCAGAAUUGAAGCAGUGGAAUACUUUCAUUCGAAAGGGAGUAGAUAACAUGUUGGCAUGUGUGAAAAUAUCGAGUUGGGUCUUGCAUGACUGAAGCUUUUGGAAUCCAUACUGGGUGGCAUAUAGGAGCUCAUUCUCAUUGAGAUACCUCAUUGUGUUUUAUCUCAGAAUCAAACCAACCUUUGGGUGAAACCAACCUUUCGGUUAAUGACAGUUUUACUUUUCUUUAACAUAAGAGGGCUACCUGAAUAAUAACACAUAGUCAUCCACAGGCAAAUGCCAACUUCCAUAACUACAAUACUUGAAAUAGCACAGCACUCCACACUCAGUGAUAAAAAGAACACAUACACAAAGGCAUGUGAGCCAUAUUGGUACAAAACUCUACAAUAUAGUGCCAGCCAACAUCAGAAAGUUAGAAGAUGAAAACAGAUUUAAAGUAGAAUUUAAAGAAUUUGUACUUGAACAAUGUUUUUACUUGGUAAAUGUUUACUUAGGCCAAUAAAUUAUUCUGAUAAUGUUUAUAUUAAGGCAAAACUGAAAACACUGUCUUUCAUCCUCUAAAGUUUCUGUUAAUUUUUUAAAUCUGAUGGACAGCUGUUGAGUGUGGUAAAAUCUGUACUGAAUUAUUGUAGUGAAUAUAAGGGCUUUCUGUUUAAGGAAGACAAAGUAAAGCCUUAGGGCAAACAGACUAUGCAGUUACAAUACUGUUAGUAUACAUCUAUAAAAUGUUGUAUUACUGUGUCUUGUAUGACCAAG